CACUACCUUGCAACAGGAGCCUGGUGGGACACCCCGUUUGUCCCGGGGCUGCACAAGUAGGCAAAAGGACGAUCUCCAUUCCUCUAGACUGGUGAUGUAAGGCUGACCGGACAGGUGGGCAGACGUCCAAACCUCAGCCAUGAAGUAAGGGAGGUAGUCACUGACCCGGUGGGCUCCUCAGUGCCAGGAGCAAACACUAAGGAUCAUCCCUUUAAUGAAUGGUGCUGGGAAAACUGUAUGCAGAAAAAUGAAACCAGACCCCAUCUCUCCCCAUACACAAAAAUCAAAUCAAAGUGGAUUAAAUACUUAAAUCUAAGACAUGAAACUAUGAAACUAUUAGAAGAAAACAUUGGGGAAGUGUUCCAAGACAUUGGUCUGGGCAAAGAUUUUCCAUGUAAUCUUUUCAUGUAACCUCAAAAGCAACAGGAAACCAAAGCAAAAGAAGACAAAUGGGAUUACAUUAAGCUAAAAAGCUUUUGUACAGCAAAGGAAAUUAUCGACAAAGUGAAGAGACAGCCUACAGAAUGGGAGAAAAUACCUGCAACUAUCCACCUGACAGAACAUAUAAAAAGCUCAAACAACUCAAUAGGAAAAAAACAAAUAAUCCCAUUUUAAAAUGGGCGAA
rnacentral:lncRNA from 10 species